rnacentral:rRNA from 1 species
UACGGGGGGUGCGAGCGUUGUCCGGAAUCACUGGGCGUAAAGCGCGCGUAGGCGGCUUGACAAGUCGAGUGUGAAAUCCCCGGGCUUAACCUGGGAGCUGCAUUCGAAACUGUCUUGCUAGAGUAUGGGAGAGGGAGGUGGAAUUUCAGGUGUAGCGGUGAAAUGCGUAGAUAUCUGAAGGAACAUCAGUGGCGAAAGCGACCUCCUGGACCAAUACUGACGCUCAGGUGCGAAAGCGUGGGGAGCAAACAGG